GGCUACGUAGCUCAGUUGGUUAGAGCACACUCACUCAUAAUGAUGGGGUCACAGGUUCGAAUCCCGUCGUAGCCACCA
rnacentral:tRNA from 1 species